UACGGAGGGUGCAAACGUUGCUCGGAAUCAUUGGGCGUAAAGCGCAUGUAGGCGGACUUUCAAGUCGGGUGUGAAAUCCCUCAGCUUAACUGAGGACGUGCAUUCGAAACUGAUAGUCUUGAGUAUGGAAGAGGGUCGCGGAAUUCCCGGUGUAGAGGUGAAAUUCGUAGAUAUCGGGAGGAACACCAGUGGCGAAGGCGGCGACCUGGGCCAAUACUGACGCUGAGAUGCGAAAGCGUGGGGAGCAAACAGG
rnacentral:rRNA from 1 species